CAGGGGCCGCUGUCACAGCAGUGCUGGGCGCCGAGCGCUGACUUCUUCCCGCGCGACUCUCUCAGAUGCCGGCGUCCCGUCCCGUAGAUCGGCAAGGCAUUUUGCAGAGGAAGAAACUGCAGUUUAAAGAGUGGCUGGCCUGUAGUCAUCAAGCCUGCAGACAGGAGAGGCAACACCCAGACUCAGAGAACAGGGUGUCUCUUUAUUAUACUACAGUGCAUCCUGCAGUUUUCAGAAAUGCUUUCGUUGUAUGAACUACAUGGUUCAGUUCCCAAAGGAAACCCAGGCCAAGCCUCACACCUCCAGGCAGCUGAUGAAGAGCAGGUUUGUCCUCUGGCUUGAACAACUGGCUGAUGGUGACAUUCUGCAGUUUGGUGACAUCUGAAGCCAUAAUUGUUGAUCUG
rnacentral:lncRNA from 1 species